UCGAAUGUAAGAGCCAGUCCGAGGACAUCGUCGACUAACGGCCACGCCAAGCGCCCGGCAACGGCGCUAGGUCCGUAAAUCCGAGCGAGACGAGCCUGCCGACGAGCCAGAACGCACUUAAUGCGGCCCAAUACCGUUUUAUAGCGAUCUAUACCGCCGGGCAGCCGGCCGGGCAACCGAUGGUCUGCCGCGUGCUCGCGUGAACGAGACGCGACAGUCGACCAACCGGGCCGUAGGCCGGCACCCAACGGGUCGCGACGUCCUACUAGGGGAGAAGUGCACGCCGACGAUGCCGGACAUACCGCAGCAAACGCGUGACACGGAACCGAGGUCCCGACCAUCGCAUUCACACGGAAGCCAGCGCCGCUGACGAUGAAUCUCCCCAUUCGAUCUUUUGGGUUUCUCAGGUUUA
rnacentral:rRNA from 1 species